UGUUAUGGCAGCUGUGCGCGGGCAGGCUUCGGCCUGGCCGGGUUCCUUUUGCCCCGGUAUUCCUACCCCGUGCACAGCUGCCACCCAA
rfam:Pseudomonas fluorescens HK44 Contig5, whole genome shotgun sequence.